GUCAAGUUAGCUUAAUAGGUAAAGCAGUAAUCUUGUAAAUUACUAAAUGCGGGUUCGAAUCCGGCACUCGGCU